rnacentral:rRNA from 1 species
UGGGGGAUAUUGCACAAUGGGCGAAAGCCUGAUGCAGCGACGCCGCGUGGGGGAUGAAGGCUUUCGGGUUGUAAACCUCUUUCGCUAUCGAACAAGGCCCGCUUAGGGUGGGUUGAGGGUAGGUGGAGAAGAAGCGCCGGCUAACUACGUGCCAGCAGCCGCGGUAAUACGUAGGGCGCGAGCGUUGUCCGGAAUUAUUGGGCGUAAAGGGCUUGUAGGCGGCUUGUUGCGCCUGCUGUGAAAACGCGGGGCUUAACUUCGCGCGUGCAGGUGGGACGGGCAGGCUUGAGUGUGGUAGGGGUGACUGGGAUUCCAGGUGUAGCGGUGGAAUGCACAGAUAUCUGGAGGAACACCGAUGGCGAAGGCAGGUCACUGGGCCAUUACUGACGCUGAGGAGCGAAAGCAUGGGUAGCGAACAGG